GAUUAGGAGUAGAAUAUUUUUGGGUGGUUCUGGAGAUGGAAAUGGGUGAAGAUAUGUGGAUGCGUACUUCCGGAGAAGAAGUAGAAUGUAUGAGUGAACGUGCAAGUGAAUCUUGAUUUAACCACAUAACAAGCUCCUAAGGGUCUACACAGCUUGACCACACUCAAUGCUCAUAAGCAGUAAAAAGUAAAUGUGUGGCUCAAAGUCUAGCAAGCAUGA
rnacentral:lncRNA from 1 species